UUCGCUGGCGCCGGCCGGGCGGUCGCCCUGACAACGCAGACGCCAGCCCGCAGAAUGACUUCCAGCUGGAGCAGCCCAGCCAGCCUGCGCGCUCACUCGCUUGCCUGCGCGGGGCUUCACAGCGCGGGGAUUUCUUGCUUCAAAACAGCUGCACUUUUGGAAGAAAGUCCACAACUGACAACUAAGCAAAACCCUCCUGGUGGAUAGCAUAAAUCUGCUUUGUUGAAGCUGCUCAUCUGUCUGAUCUAUGAGUCGAGAAGAUGCAAACUCCCUUCCCAGCUUAUGCAAAAAUACUUCCAGUAAAAACAAGCCCUUUGGCCCUUUUCUGCUGUCAGUCCAGAUUUCAGCAUGUUCUUCGCUUUGUUAUUCAUCAUUUUAUGUAUUUGGACCCAUCCUCAAACAGACUUUAAACCCUUUAAAGGCAAGGAAGGACUCUUUCCUAAACCUUUAAUCCCCUGGCCCAGCUGAGUAGAUGCACAGUGUCUUAUGAUGAUGGUGAUAUAGAAUGAUUAAUAACCACACAAAGCAUUUGGUGGGUCAAGUCACUGUUUAUUGGCUCAAAAUAAUCCUUGGCUUCUAUAUGUCUACAACUCACUUCCUAAACAGUUAAAUCCAGAGAGUCUACUAGAUUAUAGUUGGUGAUCAUUAAUAUAAAUAACGAAUACAUUAGAAUAUGUAGUCAAAAUACGAAUACUUGCUUUUCACAUGUUUCCCAAGGAUCACUGCUGGUGUUAGUCAACACAAUAAAAUAAAAAAUUUGAACUCA